rnacentral:rRNA from 1 species
UACGAAGGGUGCAAGCGUUACUCGGAAUUACUGGGCGUAAAGCGUGCGUAGGUGGUUUGUUAAGUCUGAUGUGAAAGCCCUGGGCUCAACCUGGGAAUUGCAUUGGAUACUGGCAGGCUAGAGUGCGGUAGAGGAUGGCGGAAUUCCCGGUGUAGCAGUGAGAUGCGUAGAGAUCGGGAGGAACAUCUGUGGCGAAGGCGGCCAUCUGGACCGGUUCUGACGCUGAUGCGCGAAAGCGUGGGUAGCAAACAGG